rnacentral:rRNA from 1 species
GAUGAACGCUGGCGGCGUGCCUAAUACAUGCAAGUCGAGCGAACAGAUGAGGAGCUUGCUCGUCUGACGUUAGCGGCGGACGGGUGAGUAACACGUGGAUAACCUACCUAGAAGACUGGGAUAACUUCGGGAAACCGGAGCUAAUACCGGAUAAUAUAUUGAACCGCAUGGUUCAAUAGUGAAAGACGGUUUUGCUGUCACUUAUAGAUGGAUCCGCGCCGCAUUAGCUAGUUGGUAAGGUAACGGCUUACCAAGGCAACGAUGCGUAGCCGACCUGAGAGGAUGACCGGCCACACUGGAACUGAGACACGGUCCAGACUCCUACGGGAGGCAGCAGUAGGGAAUCUUGCGCAAUGGGCGAAAGCCUGACGGAGCCACGCCGCGUGAGUGAUGAAGGUCUUCGGAUCGUAAAACUCUGUUAUUAGGGAAGAACAAAUGUGUAAGUAACUCUGCACGUCUUGACGUUACCUAAACAGAAAGCCACGGCUAACUACGUG